GUGUAUUAGAUACCCUGGUAGUCCACGCCGUAAACGAUGUCGACUAGCCGUUGGGAUCCUUGAGAUCUUAGUGGCGCAGCUAACGCGAUAAGUCGACCGCCUGGGGAGUACGGCCGCAAGGUUAAAACUCAAAUGAAUUGACGGGGGCCCGCACAAGCGGUGGAGCAUGUGGUUUAAUUCGAAGCAACGCGAAGAACCUUACCUGGCCUUGACAUGUCCGGAAUCCUGCAGAGAUGCGGGAGUGCCUUCGGGAAUCGGAACACAGGUGCUGCACGGCUGUCGUCAACU
rnacentral:rRNA from 1 species